AACGAACGCUGGCGGCAUGCCUAACACAUGCAAGUCGAACGAGACCUUCGGGUCUAGUGGCGCACGGGUGCGUAACGCGUGGGAACCUGCCCUUAGGUUCGGAAUAACUCCCCGAAAGGGGUGCUAAUACCGGAUAAUGUCUUCGGACCAAAGAUUUAUCGCCUUUGGAUGGGCCCGCGUUGGAUUAGCUAGUUGGUAGGGUAAAAGCCUACCAAGGCGACGAUCCAUAGCUGGUCUGAGAGGAUGAUCAGCCACACUGGGACUGAGACACGGCCCAGACUCCUACGGGGGGCAGCAGGGGGGAAUAUUGAACAAUGGGCGAAAGCCUGAUCCAGCAAUGCCGCGGGGGUGAUGAAGGCCUUAGGGUUGUAAAGCUCUUUUCCCCGGGAUGAUAAUGACAGUACCGGGAGAAUAAGCCCCGGCAAACCCCGU
rnacentral:rRNA from 1 species